rnacentral:rRNA from 1 species
UCUUGGUCAUUUAGAGGAAGUAAAAGUCGUAACAAGGUUUCCGUAGGUGAACCUGCGGAAGGAUCAUUAAUGAAACUUCAAAGUCGGCUUGUCAUCUGUGCUGGUGGAGACACAUGUGCACGUUGCAAGUCGCAAAUCCCACACACCUGUGCACCUAUGACUCUGAGUACUGCUUUGCAUGGGCCCCUCAAAGGCCCUGGUACUCGAGUACUUUUACACACUCUGAAUGUAAUGGAAUGUCUAUUGUACAAUGUACAACCAAAACAACUUUCAACAACGGAUCUCUUGGCUCUCGCAUCGAUGAAGAACGCAGCGAAAUGCGAUAAGUAAUGUGAAUUGCAGAAUUCAGUGAAUCAUNNAAUCUUUGAACGCACCUUGCACCCUUUGGUAUUCCGAAGGGUACACCCGUUUGAGUGUCAUUGUAAUCUCACCCCCUUGACUUUUUUGUUGAUCGGUGUGGACUUGGAUGUUGCCGUGUAACAAACGGCUCGUCUGAAAUGCCUGAGUGUACCCUGCUUUGCAGCGUAUUCGGUGUGAUAAAUCUUUACCGGAGUUGACUUUUUCAAGUCGCGCUUGUACCUGUGGGCUCUAUGCUUCCAAACAGUCCUGACAAGGACAAUCUUUGACAANUUGACCUCAAAUCGGGUGGGACUACCUGCUGAACUUAAGCAUAUCAAUAAGCGGAGGAA